AGCAUAUCAAUAAGCGGAGGAAGAGAAACCAACAGGGAUUGCCCCAGUAACGGCGAGUGAAGCGGCAUGAGCUCAAAUUUUAAAUCUGGUCUCCGUCUGGUGGCCCGAGUUGUAAUUUGGAGAGGCACCUUCGGGGAGGGCGCCGGCCUAUGUUCCUUGGAACAGGACGUCACAGAGGGUGAGAAUCCCGUGCCCGGCCGGCCGUCCCACCCCCUGUGAAGGGUCUUCGACGAGUCGAGUUGUUUGGGAAUGCAGCUCUAAAUGGGUGGUAAAUUUCAUCUAAAGCUAAAUACUGGCGAGAGACCGAUAGCGCACAAGUAGAGUGAUCGAAAGAUGAAAAGCACUUUGAAAAUAGAGUUAAAAAGUACGUGAAAUUGUUGAAAGGGAAGCGCUUGAGACCAGACCCGGCCCGUGGCCAUCGUCCCGCCUUCUGGUGGGAGCGCUCGCCUCGGGUCGGGCCAGCAUCAGUUGAGGUGGUGGGAUAAAGUCCCGAGAAAUGUGGCUCCCUACGGGGAGUGUUAUAGUCCCGGGCACAUCCAAUGCCACCCUCCUCGACUGAGGACCGCGCUCCGGCUAGGAUGCUGGCGUAAUGGUCUCCAGCGACCCGUCUUGAAACACGGACCAAGGAGUCUAACAUCUAUGCGAGUGUUUGGGUGCCAAACCCUCACGCACAAUGAAAGUGAACGGAGGUGGGAGCCCUUUCAGGGUGCACCAUCGACCGAUCCUGAUGUCUUCGGAUGGAUUUGAGUAGGAGCAUAGCUGUUGGGACCCGAAAGAUGGUGAACUAUGCCUGAAUAGGGUGAAGCCAGAGGAAACUCUGGUGGAGGCUCGCAGCGGUUCUGACGUGCAAAUCGAUCGUCAAAUUUGGGUAU
rnacentral:rRNA from 1 species